GACGUAGGGGGCGAGCGUUGUCCGGAUUUAUUGGGCGUAAAGAGCUCGUAGGCGGCUCGUUGCGUCGGCUGUGAAAACCCGCAGCUCAACUGUGGGCUUGCAGCCGAUACGGGCGGGCUGGAGUUCGGGUAGGGGAGACUGGAAUUCCUGGUGUAGCGGUGAAAUGCGCAGAUAUCAGGAGGAACACCGGUGGCGAAGGCGGGUCUCUGGGCCGAUACUGACGCUGAGGAGCGAAAGCGUGGGGAGCGAACAGG
rnacentral:rRNA from 1 species